rnacentral:rRNA from 1 species
UUAAGCGACUAAGCGUACACGGUGGAUGCCCUGGCAGUCAGAGGCGAUGAAGGACGUGCUAAUCUGCGAUAAGCGUCGGUAAGGUGAUAUGAACCGUUAUAACCGGCGAUUUCCGAAUGGGGAAACCCAGUGUGUUUCGACACACUAUCAUUAACUGAAUCCAUAGGUUAAUGAGGCGAACCGGGGGAACUGAAACAUCUAAGUACCCCGAGGAAAAGAAAUCAACCGAGAUUCCCCAGUAGCGGCGAGCGAACGGGGAGGAGCCCAGAGCCUGAAUCAGUGUGUGUGUUAGUGGAAGCGUCUGGAAAGGCGCGCGAUACAGGGUGACAGCCCGUACACAAAAAUGCACAUGCUGUGAGCUCGAUGAGUAGGGCGGGACACGUGGUAUCCUGUCUGAAUAUGGGGGGACCAUCCUCCAAGGCUAAAUACUCCUGACUGACCGAUAGUGAACCAGUACCGUGAGGGAAAGGCGAAAAGAACCCCGGUGAGGGGAGUGAAAAGAACCUGAAACCGUGUACGUACAAGCAGUGGGAGCCUCUUUAUGGGGUGACUGCGUACCUUUUGUAUAAUGGGUCAGCGACUUAUAUUCUGUAGCAAGGUUAACCGAAUAGGGGAGCCGAAGGGAAACCGAGUCUUACUGGGCGUUAAGUUGCAGGGUAUAGACCCGAAACCCGUGAUCUAGCCAUGGGCAGGUUGAAGGUUGGGUAACACUAACUGGAGGACCGAACCGACUAAUGUUGAAAAAUUAGCGGAUGACUUGUGGCUGGGGGUGAAAGGCCAAUCAAACCGGGAGAUAGCUGGUUCUCCCCGAAAGCUAUUUAGGUAGCGCCUCGUGAAUUCAUCUCCGGGGGUAGAGCACUGUUUCGGCAAGGGGGUCAUCCCGACUUACCAACCCGAUGCAAACUGCGAAUACCGGAGAAUGUUAUCACGGGAGACACACGGCGGGUGCUAACGUCCGUCGUGAAGAGGGAAAACAACCCAGACCGCCAGCUAAGGUCCCAAAGUCAUGGUUAAGUGGGAAACGAUGUGGGAAGGCCCAGACAGCCAGGAUGUUGGCUUAGAAGCAGCCAUCAUUUAAAGAAAGCGUAAUAGCUCACUGGUCGAGUCGGCCUGCGCGGAAGAUGUAACGGGGCUAAACCAUGCACCGAAGCUGCGGCAGCGACACUAUGUGUUGUUGGGUAGGGGAGCGUUCUGUAAGCCUGCGAAGGUGUGCUGUGAGGCAUGCUGGAGGUAUCAGAAGUGCGAAUGCUGACAUAAGUAACGAUAAAGCGGGUGAAAAGCCGCUCGCCCGGAAGACCAAGGGUUCCUGUCCAACGUUAAUCGGGGCAGGGUGAGUCGACCCUAAGGCGAGGCGAAAGGCGUAGUCGAUGGGAAACAGGUUAAUAUUCCUGUACUUGGUGUUACUGCGAAGGGGGGACGGAGAAGGCUAUGUUGGCCGGGCGACGGUUGUCCCGGUUUAAGCGUGUAGGCUGGUUUUCCAGGCAAAUCCGGAAAAUCAAGGCUGAGGCGUGAUGACGAGGCACUACGGUGCUGAAGCAACAAAUGCCCUGCUUCCAGGAAAAGCCUCUAAGCAUCAGGUAACAUCAAAUCGUACCCCAAACCGACACAGGUGGUCAGGUAGAGAAUACCAAGGCGCUUGAGAGAACUCGGGUGAAGGAACUAGGCAAAAUGGUGCCGUAACUUCGGGAGAAGGCACGCUGAUAUGUAGGUGAAGCGACUUGCUCGUGGAGCUGAAAUCAGUCGAAGAUACCAGCUGGCUGCAACUGUUUAUUAAAAACACAGCACUGUGCAAACACGAAAGUGGACGUAUACGGUGUGACGCCUGCCCGGUGCCGGAAGGUUAAUUGAUGGGGUUAGCGGUAACGCGAAGCUCUUGAUCGAAGCCCCGGUAAACGGCGGCCGUAACUAUAACGGUCCUAAGGUAGCGAAAUUCCUUGUCGGGUAAGUUCCGACCUGCACGAAUGGCGUAAUGAUGGCCAGGCUGUCUCCACCCGAGACUCAGUGAAAUUGAACUCGCUGUGAAGAUGCAGUGUACCCGCGGCAAGACGGAAAGACCCCGUGAACCUUUACUAUAGCUUGACACUGAACAUUGAGCCUUGAUGUGUAGGAUAGGUGGGAGGCUUUGAAGUGUGGACGCCAGUCUGCAUGGAGCCGGCCUUGAAAUACCACCCUUUAAUGUUUGAUGUUCUAACGUUGGCCCGUAAUCCGGGUUGCGGACAGUGUCUGGUGGGUAGUUUGACUGGGGCGGUCUCCUCCUAAAGAGUAACGGAGGAGCACGAAGGUUGGCUAAUCCUGGUCGGACAUCAGGAGGUUAGUGCAAUGGCAUAAGCCAGCUUGACUGCGAGCGUGACGGCGCGAGCAGGUGCGAAAGCAGGUCAUAGUGAUCCGGUGGUUCUGAAUGGAAGGGCCAUCGCUCAACGGAUAAAAGGUACUCCGGGGAUAACAGGCUGAUACCGCCCAAGAGUUCAUAUCGACGGCGGUGUUUGGCACCUCGAUGUCGGCUCAUCACAUCCUGGGGCUGAAGUAGGUCCCAAGGGUAUGGCUGUUCGCCAUUUAAAGUGGUACGCGAGCUGGGUUUAGAACGUCGUGAGACAGUUCGGUCCCUAUCUGCCGUGGGCGCUGGAGAACUGAGGGGGGCUGCUCCUAGUACGAGAGGACCGGAGUGGACGCAUCACUGGUGUUCGGGUUGUCAUGCCAAUGGCACUGCCCGGUAGCUAAAUGCGGAAGAGAUAAGUGCUGAAAGCAUCUAAGCACGAAACUUGCCCCGAGAUGAGUUCUCCCUGAGACUUAGAGUCUCCUGAAGGAACGUUGAAGACGACGACGUUGAUAGGCCGGGUGUGUAAGCGCAGCGAUGCGUUGAGCUAACCGGUACUAAUGAACCGUGAGGCUUAACCUU